CCGUAUAUUGCAUUGGACAACAACUGUCGACCAUACCACUUCCCCUACCGUUCGCUACCAGCUUGAAUUUAGGUAACAACAUGAUCGCAUCACUUCCUGAAGAUGCAUUUCAUGGAUGGUGGAAUCUAGGGGAACUAUAAUAUAUUCCACUGCUCUAACCGGAAAACUGGAUUGUAACCAACGACCUUCACGCAGCUGAGCUGGUGACUUUCUAAUACCUUCUAAUGGUAUCACCUUUAUUU